AAUGGAAAUAGUUGUUUUCAGCUGAUUGAAAGCAUUGCACAGUCAAAGGGCAAGAACAUUUACAUAGUUGACCUUUAUGUUGUACCAACAUGGCUGCCACCAAACAACUGUGAUCCAUUUUUGAGUCUGCCUGUAAGUACAGUAUAUGCUGUUAUAUUUCCUGUUAUGCUCAUUUAUAUGUUUACUUAAACUUUCUGUAUCAUGUCAGGAUGAUGCUCAGGAAGACGCACUUGUGAUUCCAGUUUGGACACCAGGACACUACCAGUUGUGUGGAUAUUGCAAACAGGAUAAUGCCUGGAAAAUGGACUGAAAAGACAGGCCUUGACUUACAGGGGUUUCCAGGUCAACCUUAUGGCAAUGACUUUGGUGUCUUUAUGUUAAUGCUGGACAUGCCAGAACUGCGGAAAUGGUGGUGUGUGAUGUUAAUGGAGAACUAUGGGCUGGAUAGCCACGGAAAGGUUUUUGCACACUUCACUGAGGAGUCUAAAGCCUUACUAAGCGGUGAUUGGCAGCCUGUUUUUAGACUAAGGAAAAGGAAGCUAGAGGACACCUGUCAGGAAGAGCCACAACACUGGGUUCAGGAAUCAUCAUCAUCACAGGCAGAUGAUGCAAGUAUAAAUGUACUGCAUCCAGUGAUGGAGGAUGUACUACUUGAAUCAUCACAAGAGAACCAGUUGAUGAGAGAUUUAAAGGAAGCCAGCAGCAAGUGGUGUUCGGAACAGUCAAGUGUGCUGCUUGGUUCUGUUCAGCUGCCCAAAGUACUCUGUAUGGAGGAUGAAGAUGUUGAUGAGGCCAUGGACAAAUUACAGAAAGCUCAAUUUUCAGAGGACAGAAUUGAUGCUCUGGAACCUUUCUGCUUUAUUUUUACUGAGGAGGAGGACAUGGUCUUGUUCCUUGAACAUGUAGCUGAUGUCAUGAAUCUGAAAGUAUUCUGUCAAACGGAAACAAAAGAAAAUACAUAAUGUGCCUCUUUGCAUUCCUUCUGUUUUUAUUUUAUGCAAGUGUUCUAAAGUUUUAUUCAUUUUUAUAUUGUAAUAUUUUAUAAAACUAUUGUCAGUUUAUCCAAUAAUAAAAAUUGUUAAUACAGUAGUUGUAAAUAGACU
ensembl:lncRNA